GGCACACAAAAGAGUGGCGAUUCAAGCGUGGGAACGCCACGAUUUCCAUUUCUGCUGAAGCAGUCAUUCUCCAAUCAGAGGUGGGAACAGAUUACCCCACGCCUUCCCUCUGUUCUAUCCCUUUUCUUUUUUAAUCUCCCCAGAGUUGAACUUCAGCCCCUGAUGAAUCGCAACAGGAAAGGCGAAGGAACAAAACACGAUGGAAAAAGAGGAGUACCAGCAUAGCAAGGUUCCUCCUUCUGGAAACAGAGAAAUCACAGCUCUUGGCAGAGAAGAAAAGGGGGAAGAUUUAAAGAGAAGUCUGGCUGUAUUUUUCCCCACAGUGUUGGAUACACAACUCUAGUUAUGACUAUCAAGUAUUUAGGAGGGAACCUAUUAUCUCUAACUGAAUUGUGCCUGUUUUCCCACAAUGCACUUGCCUGAGCAUCUUUGCCUUCCUGGAUCGUUGCCUCUGGAUUGGCUGUAUGGCUUGCAAGCUUUUCCCACAUAGGAGUCCAGAUAUUGCCAGAAAUAUAGACUCCCACGUCAACUGUACAUUUGCUGGCUGUUCAACUAUUUAAGUGAUUCAGAGUGUAAACAAUAGGGCUUGCUGUACCUGUGUAAAAGAGGGAAUGUCAGCAGGUGAAGCUUGCUUGAUAAGCUGUACCUGCUGACAUUCCCGCUUCUGCACAACGAGGAGCUCUAUCCUCUUUUUCAUCUGACCGCUCUUACCAGAAGCCUAUCAGCAAGAGCCAGUGAAGGUGGUACAAGACUGAUCACCCUGGAAAUCAUCAUGUGCAUUGAUGGCACCAAAAUAAUAAUGACCACUACAUUACCUGUUGACUCGGACACCGUAUUUGCUCUCAUCAAUGGCCAUAGCUUUUGUCAUUGCAGUAACAGCACCCUGCAAGUUGGAGGCAUUAAUAGCAUGGAUUAUCAACUGACCAGAAAAAAACAGAUAUGGGCUGGGUUUUUCUUCGGCCUUUUACAACUUCUUGAUGUACAGAGAAAUCAACGGAUUAAGCUUUUUAUGGCAUGUAAAUUAACAAUGUCCCUUACUUCCGUCUGUAGAUCAAGCUGCUGUUAAAUGGCAUAACAACAGGGGCCAAAAAAGAAGCUGGCAACCCCAAUAAUAGCUCGAUGGUUUCUCACCUCUUUUCUCCAUCUUUGGUGACUUUUUAAAAAUUGACCUCGUCAAUAAUCCCAAGAUAGCAACCCUCUGAUUUACAUCACUCACAAGAGGCUAAUUCAAAACCAAAGUGAGUUGAAAGAGAGUGGAGCCCCUAGUUAAUUAAGGGGCUCUGCUUUUUUAAAAUCUGCACUGGCCAGUUGCAUUACAGAGGUGCUUAAGUCUCAUAUAAUAAAUAUAGUUUGGUGUAUUUGUUGUGGACAUAGGCCAUAACAAAAACAAAGUUUUGUAUAUGGAAGAAAAGCUUUCAGAGGUUUAAAUAGGAUUGUCAAUGAAUGGGGAGGGGGAGGCUGACUUGCCCCUGUGCCUCUUAGCAGCAGCUUGAUAUGCAGAAAUCAGAAAGUGAAUUUUCACAGCUUAAAGAUAGGCACUAUCACUUGGAAUUAUCCCUUCCUUGCAAUUAAAAGCACGGAAGCAGGUGCUUGUAAAAACAUUGGCAACCCUAUCUUUAGAGAAUUAUCAUUUGCCAUUAAAAGCACAGAAGCAGAUGCUUGUAUUAAUGUUGGCAACCCUAUCUUUAGAACAAGAAGGGCAGGGCAGGGGACACCUGAAGUCAAAUUCUAGCCAUUGCUCUGGAUUACCUUGGUUGCCACAUACGGCACAGCAUACUUUUGUCCAAUAACAUUGACAAGACUGGCGAUGUUGAUAAUGUUCCCUUUGGUUUUGCGGAGGUGGGGCAAUGCAAACUGUUAACAAGAGAAAUGGGGAGGAAUGGAGAGAAAACAUUCCAACGCAUGGCGGCAUGAGGCUGCCUUCUAUCAAGCCAGACCACUGGUCCAUUGAGCCCAGGAUUGUCUGCUCCAGCAGUCGUUCAGUCAGGACCCACCUUUAACAUGCAUUUUGAAACCCAUUCCUUAAUUUUCUAUCAUGUGUUUGUACAAUGGUAGUGCCACUGUUGAGUUCCACCUUAGAUCAGGGUAUGACCCACUAGUUGGACCCAUGUUCUACGCCAGGAGCAGCCAAUGUGGUGUCCUCCACAUUUGUUGGCUACAACUCACAUCAGACCCAACCACCAUGGCCAAGAGCCAGGGAUAAUGGGAACUGUAGUUACGCGACAUCUGAAGAGCACCAUAUUGGCUACACUUGGUCUCCUCUAAUGGCAGCGGCUUGCUAAGGCUUUUUUCAGCCCUUGCACCCAAGGACUAAAUUUGGGACCUUUUAGGUUUACCUCAGAGCUGUGGCUCCUCCCCGUAUAGCUCAAUGGGGUUGCAAAGAAUGAGUCACAUCUUUCCACUUCCACAUCUUAUACCAAGAAGUUCUAUUAUCUCCUGUUUUUCAAUUCUGGAGGAAGCCAAUGACCUCAGGAGACAAGGGUGAUAUUUAGCCAAGGGCUGUGACUCAGUGGUAGAGCACAUGUGCUGAAUGCAGAAGGUCCCAUGAUCAAUCCUUGGCAUCUCUAAGCAGGUCUGAGAUAGAUCCCUGGCUGAAACCUUGGAGAGCCCUUGCAUGUCCAUUAAUGGAAAUUAGUCUAUUAGGACACACGAGGCACUGACCCACCAACCUUUGUCUACCCUCAGUCUACUCUGUGCCUGCCUGACUUCCUUCCUUCUUAAUGACCAACCCCAGGGGGUGGCCCUGGCUAUCAGCUUCCUCCUCCUCCAUGUUGCCCUUGUAGAACUCCACAGGGAGAAGGACAGGAACAAAACUGGAAUUGGUUGGCUCCUUUUGUCAUUGGCUCUGGGUCCACCUGAUGUUGGGCUCUCAGCCUUUCGCCCAACCAAUCCAAAUGGGCACCAGCCACCACUAGUAUCAGUACAGAUGAUACUGAACUGCCCAGCUUAGUAUACGGCACUUUCCCAAGCACAUAUUGGAAUUGCUCACCUUAGCUGUUAAGAAACAGCUUACAACAUUGAGGUCCAUGAGGCUGCGGAACUCUUGCGCAGUGACAUCAUCUAUAAUUUGGUCAGGAGGAUCUGUUUGUGAAAGGAUCAAGUGGAUAUAAAAAAUAAAAGAAUUCACAAAGGUAAGAUCCACAACAGACUAGGUUCUUUCACACCUACUGAUGGAUGUUAUUUUUUUUUUAAAAAGUAAAUUGUACUUAUCCCAAUAAGUCCACACGAUAAAUAUAUAUAUCCAGUGGUGCCAUCAGAGCAGGAGUUUGGGGCAGAAGUCAAGGGCCCCAAUCUGCAGACGGACCCACAAAUGCAGGGUUGGCUUACACAGUAAUGCACAUUACCAUCUAAAAAGGCAGACCUUUGCAAGACCAGUAAGUGCAGAGUCUAAAGUUAUGCAAGUGCAUCACUACAUACAAAAUUGCUUAAGUGCAUUGCUGCAGUACACUCUACAUGAGGCUUUCCUUGCUGUCAGUACAGAAACUGCAGUAAGUGCAGAAUAUUGCAGCAGAAUUGCUAACAGGAGCAAGACCCUCUCAGCAUAUCACAUGCCUGCUAAAAGAUCAGCACAGACUGCCAACUUGUUAACAGGGCAAAUUCAAGGUGUUACGAUUAGUAUAUAAAGUCCCUAACAGCUUGGCACCAGUUUACUUGAAGGAUCACCUUACCUCACAUGUGCCCUCUUGGUGGCUUCAGUCUGUGGAACUGGCCCUUUCACAAGUGCCACAUAAUGUUCAUUCUGCACUUGCAAGAAAUCAGUUUUUUUUAGUGUGGUAGCACUUGCAUUCUGGAACUCCCUGCCUAUUGAUAUUAGACAGAUGCCUUCAUUGUACUAUUUUUGACACCUGCUAAAAAUGUUUUUGUUUAGGCAAGCCUUCCCAGACAUGUAAUUCUAUUGUGAACAUUUGUUUUAAAAACCUGAUGAUUUUAUCUAUAGUUUGAUAAUUUUAUUAAGUUUGCUUUUAGUGCUAUUUUUGCCUCUUUUUAAUUGUUAUGUUUAAUAUUUUAUACCAUUUUAUGUAAACUGCUUUUAAAUUUAAGUAGUAUAUACAUCUUGUUAAAUAAAUAGAUGUCAGAUAAAUACGUGCAUCAAAUAAAAUGA